rnacentral:lncRNA from 1 species
CCGAAAUGACUUUGUCAAAGCUACAAAAUAACUAGGGCUUUACAAUGAUGUUGGAGCCUGAGGCCCUUGACAUCACAGACAUUGAGAGUCAACACAGCACAGACAAUCAAGACUGAUGAAGAAAAGAAAGAAAUCAUAACAUCUUCUAAUUUCCCAGAAAGUACGACACCUGUUCUGACAAUUGCAUUGAUUGGUGGCACUGAUUCUAUGUAGAUUGAAUCUGGAAAUCUCCUUCUUGGUCAAGAUGAUCUACCAGCAGCAGAACUCUCACAGAUAACACCCAGGAUGUAUGAUCUACCAGCAGCAGAACUCUCACAGAUAACACCCAGGAUGUAUGAUCUACCAGCAGCAGAACUCUCACAGAUAAUACCCAGGAUGUAUGAUUUGCCCAGUCAUUGUGUCUCUGUUAUCAACAUGCUGGGCUUGCAGAGUUCUGAACUUACCCAGGAGAAUCACAUAGGUCUACUUGUUCAUAAGCAGGGUAUCAAUGCUGUCCUCUUACUUCUACCAUUGGGUCAGCAUAUUGAUGAAUUCAAAAUGGGAGUGGGGUGGCUGGAAAGAA